rnacentral:rRNA from 1 species
CACGUAGGGUCCGAGCGUUGUCCGGAAUUACUGGGCGUAAAGAGCUCGUAGGUGGUUUGUCGCGUUGUCCGUGAAAACUCACAGCUCAACUGUGGGCGUGCGGGCGAUACGGGCAGACUGGAGUACUGCAGGGGAGACUGGAAUUCCUGGUGUAGCGGUGGAAUGCGCAGAUAUCAGGAGGAACACCGGUGGCGAAGGCGGGUCUCUGGGCAGUAACUGACGCUGAGGAGCGAAAGCGUGGGGAGCGAACAGG